UGAAACACGUUAAUAUUUAAUUUGACGUUUUGAUACGUUGGUUUUCGUCCGUCGCUCACGCAAAAAAGACCGCGCACUGUAAAAAAGUCGUUUGCUUUCGUCCAUCACUCACGCCAAGAAAACCGCGCACCGUAAAACAACACCACCUCCGAUGCACGGUCCGUGUAAAAGAAAAAAAAAACAUCGAGGAGCCACCUUCGUCCCUGCGUUUCCGAUGCUCUCCCCCAAAAUCGCCACCCAAAUCUCUCCUCACUUCUCUUACUUCGCCAAAUUUGAUGGUGCUCUCACGUGAGCCGCCGCCGCAUGGGAUCCGGCGAGAUCCGCCCCCGACCGGCGCCACUGCCUCCCCUCCGCUCGCCGCGCAGAUCCGGCGAGAUCCGGCUAGGACGAGGCUACGGCCGGGCCCCAACACCGAGGCCCUCAAGACGGAGCUGCUCUACGCGCAUGCCGUGCUCCAGCAACGCCAGAGCCCUGGAGAUCCACAACCCCGCGCUGGCGGAGCUGCGGCGGCGGCACCGAAGACGUUCUUGACGAGCUCGACUAUAUGAGACAUGUGCAACCUGGGAAAAAGUUUGAUCCAGGAAGGGUGUUGAAUAGUUCAACAUAUCAGGAAGUGUCUGUAUACAUCUUGAUGAAAUUUGGCAAGCACGGCAAAUGCUGGAGCGAAGUCCCAAACAGAAGGGCAAUCUAAUCGCAUAGGAUAACUUCUCCCUGGCAAAGGAAAGGGACAGUAUCUACUGGACCCAAAAGUAAUGCAGAUAUAUCUUGAACGUUUCUACUCCCAAAUCAUUAUGUUCAAGCACUGCCACUGCGCAUGCAAAUCGAGUAAGUGAUUUAACAACUGGGUUUUCAUUUCCAAGUCUAGCAAGCCCCAAGCCCCAAAUUAGCAACCAUUCAAUUCCUGUACCAUUAAAUUAUUGAUGACUUGGAUAUCUUGUGAGUGGCAGUUUAGUAUUGGUGAAGUGGCAGUUUAGUAUUGGUGAAGAUACAUUGAUAUGCAACCAUAGAACAAGAUGAUAAAGUGGAUUAACUGAUUGAGAUCAUCAAGAGUAGAGCACCUCCAUAAGGAGGUGUGCACAUCUAUGCACUCGCACAAAAGAAGCCACAAGCCAUUUUAGUUAGUAAUUCAAAGGCCAUAUGCACUUAUCAUUUUUCUUAUUUAACUUAGCUCAGUUUCAACUAAUUUGUGUUCAAUGUUCUAUGCAUAAAGAAGCAUCACGGCAGAACCUGGUAAAAUCAGAGCUUCUGCUUUCAAUGGCGUUCUAAAGGUACUGGCAAGUUUUGAAUCAAACAACAAAUUUUAUGGGUGCUUAGUGAAUCAUCAUGAAUAGUUCAAGAGAUACCGAACAUUUUGGGUGAUCAAGCAGGCAUUGUUGAGAAAUACAUGGGAACUGAUUAUGCAAAAGCAGUGAGAUGUACCGAUAGGUCAAAUACAAGUUGCUCUGGACUAUAAAUAGCUCUGCUUUGGAACUAAAUCAUGGUUUGCUAUUGAUGAAAUGCCAUAAUAUGUACCCUUGAAUUAGUGUCAUUUCACCGAACACUUCUCCUGCGCUGGAUCAAUCGCCAUUUCUGCUGGUUUUUUAACGGAACGGUGUUCGGUGGCCGCAACGAGAGGCAUUCAGAGAAGUGGCCGGGGAGUCUUCCAGCAAAAGAAGUAGGCGGCCAUUAGGCUUCAAGUCAAAAGAGCUGGGACCGACGGACUCGCAAAACUACGCCUCCAAUAAUUCCGAGAAUGUUGCUUCCACACUUUUCCUGAGCGAGAUGCCAUGUGAGGUAACAUUAAAUUAUGUAUUUUUUUCAUAAACGUGAAUUUUCGUGUGCAUUGUGAUAACAUGUGAAAGCGAAAGCAAUUAAGAAGCCGUGGCAACGCAUGGACACUGUAUGAUUGACUCAUAAUUACCGAAUUCUUCGACAUCGUCGAACUCCGAUUCCAAUCAGCCGAUCUAGAUUUCUCCC